GGGCACUUAGCUCAGAGGUAGAGCGCUUCGUUGACAUCGAAGAGGUCGCAGGUUCAAUUCCUGCAGUGCCCA
rnacentral:tRNA from 1 species